UCCCGGUUGGCCCGGGCAGUCUCGCAUGAAAAAUACAACAUACGAUAGGGGUUGCGCUCGUUGCGGGACUUAACCCAACAUUUCACAACACGAGCUGACGACGGCCAUGCAGCACCUGUCACCUGAUUCCUUGCGGCACCCCACUGUUUCCAGCGGGUUCCAGGGAUGUCAAGCCUCGGUAAGGUUCUACGCGUACCGUCAUAUUAAACCACAUCAUCCUCCGCUUGUGCGGGUCCCCGUCAAUUCCUUUGAGUUUUAGCCUUGCGGCCGUACUUCCCAGGCGGCAUACUUAUCGCGUUAGCUGCGUCGCACAGGGGGUCGAUACCCCAUACGACUAGUAUGCAUCGUUUACGGCGUGGACUAC
rnacentral:misc_RNA from 1 species